GUGCGAUAAUUACAUCGGAUAUCCUCUGCCUCUUGGGAUCAGAAGUGUUGUAAAAAGUCUCCUAUGUAUAGUUUUGGCUUCCUUGACAUGCACAAAUGUGGUUUUAUCUUCAAUACGUGGAUACCACUGCGAUUCCGACGCCACGGUACCAGAGGAAUACUACAUAGGCGCCGGUGCUCUAAUACUUGUGUUCGUAUAUUCAGCUGUAAUUACACAGGCACUACGUAAAAAUCACGUGAUCUCUUCCGGAAUUUUGAUUACGUUCUGGAUUCUACUUCUAGGUUGUAGCACUGUUCCACUGCAGUCAGCAAUAUCA